rnacentral:rRNA from 1 species
CAGUCGCCGCGGGAAUACGAAGGGGGCUAGCGUUGCUCGGAAUUACUGGGCGUAAAGCGCACGUAGGCGGACCGAUAAGUCGGGGGUGAAAUCCUGGAGCUCAACUCCAGAACUGCCUUCGAAACUGCCGGUCUUGAGUUCGGGAGAGGUGAGUGGAACUGCGAGUGUAGAGGUGAAAUUCGUAGAGAUCGGGAGGAACAUCAGUGGCGAAGGCGGCCAUCUGGGACAACACUGACGCUGAGGCACGAAAGCGUGGGGAGCAAACAGGAUUAGAUACCCCAGUAGUCCCUGUCUCUUAUAC